GAUGAACGCUGGCGGCGUGCCUAAUACAUGCAAGUCGAGCGAACGGACGAGAAGCUUGCUUCUCUGAUGUUAGCGGCGGACGGGUGAGUAACACGUGGAUAACCUACCUAUAAGACUGGGAUAACUUCGGGAAACCGGAGCUAAUACCGGAUAAUAUUUUGAACCGCAUGGUUCAAAAGUGAAAGACGGUCUUGCUGUCACUUAUAGAUGGAUCCGCGCUGCAUUAGCUAGUUGGUAAGGUAACGGCUUACCAAGGCAACGAUGCAUAGCCGACCUGAGAGGGUGAUCGGCCGCACUGGAACUGAGACACGGUCCAGACUCCUACGGGAGGCAGCAGUAGGGAAUCUUCCGCAAUGGGCGAAAGCCUGACGGAGCAACGCCGCGUGAGUGACGAAGGUCUUCGGAUCGUAAAACUCUGUUAUUAGGGAAGAACAUAUGUGUAAGUAACUGUGCACAUCUUGACGGUACCUAAUCAGAAAGCCACGGCUAACUACGUG
rnacentral:rRNA from 1 species